rnacentral:rRNA from 1 species
ACGAACGCUGGCGGCAGGCCUAACACAUGCAAGUCGAGCGCGCCCUUCGGGGUGAGCGGCGGACGGGUGAGUAACGCGUGGGAACGUACCCCUUACUUCGGAAUAGCCUCGGGAAACUGGGAGUAAUACCGAAUGUGCUCUUCGGAGGAAAGAUUUAUCGGUAAGGGAUCGGCCCGCGUUUGGAUUAGGUAGUUGGUGGGGUAAUGGCCUACCAAGCCGACGAUCCAUAGCUG